GAUGAAGGAACGUAGCGAAAUGCGAUAAGUAAUGUGAAUUGCAGAAUUCAGUGAAUCAUCGAAUCUUUGAACGCACAUUGCGCCCGCCAGUAUUCUGGCGGGCAUGCCUGUUCGAGCGUCAUUUCAACCAUCAAGCCCCCGGCUUGUGUUGGGGACCUGCGGCUGCCGCAGGCCCUGAAAAGCAGUGGCGGGCUCGCUGUCACACCGAGCGUAGUAGCAUACAUCUCGCUCUGGGCGUGCUGCGGGUUCCGGCCGUUAAACCACCUUCAUAACCCAAGGUUGACCUCGGAUCAGGUAGGAAGACCCGCUGAACUUAAGCAUAUCAAUAAGCGGAGGA
rnacentral:misc_RNA from 1 species